AGCCCGAACCGGUCGAAGAUACCAGGUGGCUGCAACUGUUUAGUAAAAACACAGCACUCUGCUAACGCGCAAGCGGACGUAUAGGGUGUGACGCCUGCCCGGUGCCGGAAGGUUAAGUGAUGGUGUUAGGAUUCGUCCGAAGCUCUUGAUCGAAGCCCCGGUAAACGGCGGCCGUAACUAUAACGGUCCUAAGGUAGCGAAAUUCCUUGUCGGGUAAGUUCCGACCUGCACGAAUGGCGUAAUGAUGGCCACGCUGUCUCCACCCGAGACUCAGUGAAAUUGAAAUCGCCGUGAAGAUGCGGUGUACCCGCGGCUAGACGGAAAGACCCCGUGAACCUUUACUAUAGCUUCACACUGGACGCUGAUGUUGCCUGUGUAGGAUAGCUGGGAGGCUUAGAAACCCGGACGCCAGUUCGGGUGGAGCCAACCUUGAAAUACCAGCCUGGCAUCAUUGGCGUUCUCACUCAGGUCCGUGAUCCGGAUCGAGGACAGUGUGUGGUGGGUAGUUUGACUGGGGCGGUCUCCUCCCAAAGAGUAACGGAGGAGCACGAAGGUACCCUCAGCACGGUCGGACAUCGUGCAAUGAGUGCAAGAGCAUAAGGGUGCUUGACUGCGAGACAGACACGUCGAGCAGGUGCGAAAGCAGGUUCUAGUGAUCCGGUGGUUCUGUAUGGAAGGGCCAUCGCUCAACGGAUAAAAGGUACUCCGGGGAUAACAGGCUGAUACCGCCCAAGAGUUCACAUCGACGGCGGUGUUUGGCACCUCGAUGUCGGCUCAUCACAUCCUGGGGCUGAAGUCGGUCCCAAGGGUAUGGCUGUUCGCCAUUUAAAGUGGUACGCGAGCUGGGUUUAGAACGUCGUGAGACAGUUCGGUCCCUAUCUGCCGUGGGCGUUGGAUGUUUGAGAAGAGCUGCUCCUAGUACGAGAGGACCGGAGUGGACGACCCUCUGGUGUUCCGGUUGUCACGCCAGUGGCAUUGCCGGGUAGCUAUGGUCGGACGGGAUAACCGCUGAAAGCAUCUAAGCGGGAAGCCCCCUUCAAGAUGAGACAUCCCUGAG
rnacentral:rRNA from 1 species